AGUGAACGCUGGCGGCAGGCCUAACACAUGCAAGUCGAGCGGCAGCGGGUCCUUCGGGAUGCCGGCGAGCGGCGGACGGGUGAGGAAUACAUCGGAAUCUGCCCUGUCGUGGGGGAUAACCUAGGGAAACUUAGGCUAAUACCGCAUACGACCUACGGGUGAAAGCGGGGGAUCGCAAGACCUCGCGCGACAGGAUGAGCCGAUGUCCGACUAGCUAGUUGGCGGGGUAAAGGCCCACCAAGGCGACGAUCGGUAGCUGGUCUGAGAGGAUGAUCAGCCACACUGGGACUGAGACACGGCCCAGACUCCUACGGGAGGCAGCAGUGGGGAAUAUUGGACAAUGGGCGCAAGCCUGAUCCAGCCAUGCCGCGUGGGUGAAGAAGGCCUUCGGGUUGUAAAGCCCUUUUGUCCGGGAAGAAAUCGUCUGGGCUAAUACCCCGGGCGGAUGACGGUACCGGAAGAAUAAGCACCGGCUAACUUCGUG
rnacentral:rRNA from 1 species